AGCGAACGCUGGCGGCAGGCCUAACACAUGCAAGUCGAACGAACUCUUCGGAGUUAGUGGCGGACGGGUGAGUAACACGUGGGAACGUGCCUUUUGGUUCGGAAUAACUCAGGGAAACUUGUGCUAAUACCGAAUGUGCCCUUCGGGGGAAAGAUUUAUCGCCAUUAGAGCGGCCCGCGUCUGAUUAGCUAGUUGGUGAGGUAACGGCUCACCAAGGCGACGAUCAGUAGUUGGUCUGAGAGGAUGACCAGCCACACUGGGACUGAGACACGGCCCAGACUCCUACGGGAGGCAGCAGUGGGGAAUCUUGCGCAAUGGGCGAAAGCCUGACGCAGCCAUGCCGCGUGAAUGAUGAAGGUCUUAGGAUUGUAAAAUUCUUUCACCGGGGACGAUAAUGACGGUACCCGGAGAAGAAGCCCCGGCUAACUUCGUG
rnacentral:rRNA from 1 species